rnacentral:rRNA from 1 species
GAUGAACGCUAGCGGCAGGCUUAAUACAUGCAAGUCAAGGGGGUAGCAAUACAACCGGCGCACGGGUGAGUAACGCGUACACAACAUACCAUAUACUGGGGUAUAGCUUUGGGAAACUGAAGGUAAUCCCCCAUAACAUUGCGAGAGGGCAUCUGAUUGCAAUUAAAGUUUCGGCGGUAUAUGAUUGGUGUGCGUUUGAUUAGCUAGUUGGCAGGGUAACGGCCUACCAAGGCGACGAUCAAUAGCCGGCGUGAGAGCGCGACCAGCCACACUGGAACUGAGACACGGUCCAGACUCCUACGGGAGGCAGCAGUAGGGAAUAUUGGACAAUGGAGGAAACUCUGAUCCAGCCAUGCCGCGUGAUAGAUGAAGGCCCUCUGGGUUGUAAAUAUCUUUUAUCUGGGAAGAAACACUUCUAUUCUUAGAAGCUUGACGGUACCAGAGGAAUAAGCACCGGCUAACUCCGUGCCAGCAGCCGCGGUAAU